rnacentral:rRNA from 1 species
GACGAACGCUGGCGGCGUGCCUAACACAUGCAAGUCGAACGGGCCUUUAUGAAUAGCUUGCUAUAAGUAAAGGCUAGUGGCGGACGGGUGAGUAACGCGUGGGCAAUCUACCCUAUUGACCGGGAUAACACCGGGAAACUGGUGCUAAUACCGGAUAAGCUUGUCACAAGGCAUCUUGAGGCAAGGAAAAGGAGGCCUCUGAAGUAAGCUACCGCAAUAGGAUGAGCCCGCGUCCCAUUAGCUAGUUGGCGGGGUAACGGCCUACCAAGGCGACGAUGGGUAGCCGGCCUGAGAGGGUGACCGGCCACACUGGGACUGAGACACGGCCCAGACUCCUACGGGAGGCAGCAGUGGGGAAUAUUGCGCAAUGGGGGGAACCCUGACGCAGCAACGCCGCGUGAGUGAAGAAGGCCUUCGGGUCGUAAAGCUCUGUCAAGAGGGACGAAGUCUAUGCUGCGAAAAGUGGUAUAGGUGACGGUACCUAAAGAGGAAGCCCCGGCUAACUACGUGCCAGCAGCCGCGGUAAUACGUAGGGGGCGAGCGUUGUCCGGAAUUACUGGGCGUAAAGGGCGUGUAGGCGGUUAAUUAAGUCAGGUGUGAAAACUCUGGGCUCAACCGAGAGGUUGCAUCUGAAACUGAUUAACUUGAGGGUAGGAGAGGGAAGUGGAAUUCCUAGUGUAGCGGUGAAAUGCGUAGAUAUUAGGAGGAACACCAGUGGCGAAGGCGACUUUCUGGUCUGUAACUGACGCUGAUGUGCGAAAGCGUGGGGAUCAAACA